CGCAUCUGCCGCAAGUCGAACUCUUCUCUUUUAUACCGUGCAAGCCCUCAAUAGCUAUGGCAAUUUUUUAUAGUAGUAUUGUGGCCUUCUUGAUCUCUUUUUUGACUCGUCUGUCUCUUGAUCACUUUAGGAGCUCCAUCGGAUAUUUAUGCGUAGGGGCGACGCGAGAUCCCAAGAGGCAAAACGCGGCAGAAUAGGGAGGCGAGGAGUGUUUUUGCACGAAGAGCGGCGGUGGUGGGAUUGGGAUCAAGGGGGCGGCGGUACCGGCUGCUGGUGAUGAGGAGGUUCGCGUUCAUGCUGCUGAGGGGCGGCGGCGCGGCCUGCCCUAAGAGGAGGCCGGGCGGCGGGCGGAGCGGCGGCCAACGGCCACGGGGCCACGGUAGAAGCAUGUUGUGACACGGCGGCGGAGGGCUGCUCUAGGUCGAGCGCUUCGUCGCGCGCGUCCUCUAGCGUCGAGCCGAGAAGUCGCGGCGACUCCGCUUCGCAGGGGCGCAGCUGUUACCGCUACUGCUGCACCCGUGGCCACCCCCUCCUCCCCCAAGGGACCCCUCGCCACCGGCAUAGCCGCCACCGCCGGAGCCUAAGAGCAGGAGUCGGCCACCACCGGUACGAAGAAGGUAGGGUAGGAAUAGAAGAGUUCCUUUGAGUGUAGUCAUAAGAAGUAUACCACCACCUAUGGUCUCACCGUCAUGUUGUUUUUUCUAACUAUAGGGUUUACCUUCCCAACCACAAUAGUAACCUUUUCGACCUCUUUGAUAUUUCGUAGAGGUUCGAGUCAGUCCCCGUUUCUAGGUUCAUUGUUCCCUGUACCUACAAGUUGGGCCGAGUGUCUGUUCUAGCCAGCUAGAAAGCCCGUGAGGACUGGUCUAUUUGUCUCGACUCGUCAACUAUUAACUACAAGAACGUCUCCGACUACGACCUAGUAGACCGUGAUAGAGAUUAGCCUUCAUGUUGCGUGGAGUUGGACCACGACUCGUUAAGGUUUACGUUUAACGAUUGUUAUUCCACCCAGACCAAUAACCAUUCCCACCACUCUGAUAUUUUAGGUACGUCCGGUUUAGAGUUCGAGCAUAUGUCCAGUAAGGAAACGUAAACGGAGGACCACUAUGAAGUUGACUUUCUUAUGACAUAUAACUACCAUGACGUCUCGUUUAACUUUAUCGUUUCGUCGAACACUCACUCCAGUGAUCACUCCAGUCGAAAGAAAGAGAAAAGUACGGUGAAGGAUUAACCACGUCGAUAAACAAUAAAUGGUCACAAAUUUAGUACACCCAAACUAAUGUAAAAAAACAUGAAGUAUGACACAAAAACAGGACUAAAUAUAAAGGGAUGAACUGGAUAGAAAAGGUAACAAACGAAACUUAAGAAGAGAAAUCAAUACUAUACGGGAUAUAAGAACAGUUUACAUGUACAGUUUUGAAAAAGAGUUACCCAACAGAUCAUUUUUUUCUACCAGCACCUCGUCGUCGUUAAAUCGAAACUGUGCUAACAUACGAAAUAUGAGGGAGACAAGGUUUCAUCUACUGGGUUGAAACAUGAUUUCAAUCAUGUUUCAACUCAGUAGAUAAAACCUUGCCUCCCUCAUGUUAACACACGAACGAAGACUCUACAAGUCUCUGCGUGUGGCUUAGACUUUAACAUAAACAUUAAACGGGUCAGAGAAACAAUAAUCGAAGAGACGAGACACCUCAGACGACUUUUAUAUUCUUUAUAAAUUUGUGAGUGUCAAUUUAUGACCGUUUAGGUAUGCAGGUAAUCCUUCAACUAUAGGAUAGUGUCGUAGAAAUGAUGUAUAGUAUGGCCACGAACACCACGAUAGGUAUAUAGGGUCCUAUAUGACAGACUAGUAAUUGACUGUAUUCCGGUUUAAUCACAACCAUUGAUCAAGACUCCCGACGUUAGUUAGGACCUCGGUCCAAACAAUGAUGGAUUACAAUUAUAUGAACUACGAGUACCUACUUUCUAUUUUAAUACUUGAUGAGGGAGACAAACCCAUAUUUCCCAAGUACACAAUAUGGUAAUCUUAAGUUUAUGUUUAAGUUAGCUGAAAAACUUGUUAUCUUAUGUCUGUAGGUCUUUGUACGGACCAGGGAGAUAGUUUUACCUUCAUUUAUCAAAUAUAAGUACAUGGACCACGAACAGGAGAGUUUCAAAGUAAACCAUAAAGAAAUGUAGAAAACCCCUAUCGAACACGUUAUGAGAUAUGUCCACUAGUAACACGUGUGAAUGUACUACCCGGCACGUGACAACAUCGACAAUAAAACCGAUAACUAUAAAAACGAGUGAGUCCCAGAUCUAUAGUAAGAACGUAAUAAGGGAAGUAUGAAAACUACGAAUUACAAAUCAGGAAAAAAGGACAACGAUUGUGGUGGUAGACCCUCGUUGUACAUUGUUAAUUCUUGGAAUGUCAAAUAACUGAUCCGUUUUUUCAAGUAUACACAAGACACAUCAAACCUUUCUAAUACGUCCUAUGGAGCGUACUUAGAUAGCACAAGACAAACGAACAUAUAUAAAAGAGACACAACUGAAAAGUCCAAUUGUGCUGGUUCGAAGGAAUUUUUGAAACGAACUUAGGAAAGAAACUGUAAGUAAACAAGUGGAUAUUAUAUUAAAAAACAACCUCCUCUGAACAGUUUUCUUGACGACGACACAUACCACACAGUAAUUCGUUAUGUUCAUCUACAAGGUGUAUUAUGACUAAAAUGUUGUAGAUAUUUGACGUUCCGUUAGAAAAUAACGAUAAGUUAUACAUAUAUAUACAAACAGAUCGACGGGUUAGAAGUAAUAGAGGGUAUCAAAACGUGUACCCUCUGCGAUCUACCCGUAGUCGUUACAACGAACUCUUAGAACGAGCCACUCAACUGGGGAGAUAAAAAGAACCACCAAGACCUUAAAGACAUAUAAUACAACGAAACAAAAACCUAUACAAAACAGACCAAACGUGAGCAAGACGUACCAUGUAACGUACAAAAACAAGAUAUGUAUAUGUCUACACGUUUGAUAUAAAAACGUCUUAGCACGGUCUUUAGGUUACAGUCCACCGAUAAGAGUCGUCCCGAUGGCGGGAGGAGCAGGAGUCCGUUUGACCCCACGCGGACCACGUGGUUGUUGUGUUGUCGGACCAAUACCAAUGUACGUCGGACCUGGAAUAGGACCACGCGGUGGUGUCAUACCGGUCGUUGGAAUACCGUCGAUGGGAGGUCGUAGACCUCCAAUAGUCUGUCCCACCCUAGUCAGAAGUUUGGUCGUUAGUGUCGUCCGGGGGAGACGGCGACCAAUACUGAUGAUAUUGGUUGUCGUCGUUGGGGUUGUCGUUGUUAGACGGUGACCUUGACGACGUGGACGACUACGAUCGUUGAUGUUAAUGUCGGUCGGAGGACGAUCAAUACGAAGUGUUCCCAUACCACUAAGAUGGAUGAGAGUCGUCUCACCACCCGUCGUUCGAAUACUGAUGAGACCAAUGGUCUGGGUCCCCGUCGUCGUCAGAAUGAGCCUCGUCGGACCUAUACUAGUCGUCUCGAUACCUAGUCGACGAUUGAGUUGAGUCCUACCAUGACGUGGAUCGAUACCACCAGGUCCACCACGACCAGUUCGUAGAGGUCCCGUCGUUCGAAGGUGAGGUAGGAGACCUCCGGUUGGCCCAAUAGGAUCGGUUGGUGGAUGAUCACGACGACGUAGUUCGAUGGGUCACGUUCCAAGACGGGGAGGUAGACCUAUGCAACGAGGUGUAUGUGUCGGACCAAUACCAUGCGUCGGUGGUGGUGUCCCGCGUAUGCCAGUCCCACGAAUACCCGUCGGAGGCGUCCGAGUCUUCGGCGGAAGUAGACGAGGAUGAAUACCUGUCGGUGGCGGACGAGUCCGACCAAUACCCGUCAUACCUAUGUCAGUCGUUCCGAUACCACGUGGCGGCGGAAUGGGACCACGUGGGUGACGAUCGGUCGGUCCGAUACCGGUCGUCGUCAGUAUGCCACUAGGAAUACGAUGACCAUCGAUACCCGUCGGAUGUCGCAUAAGAUGACUUCGAUGUCGUGGACGACGAAGGGUCCUAGUUAGACGGCGGCGUGGACGGGGAUGGUGUCGUUGACGGCGAGGACGAGGACGGUUGUCACCACGGGGGGUUUGAAGAGGCUCAACUCGACGGACGAGGACGGAGUCGACGUAGACGUUAGACCAAAGCAACCGAGACGACGAACUUCAUAUUAGGAGUGAGAUAGGUACAAUAGAAUGAAAAAUAACGAACGAACACUUGAAAUAUAUAACGAUAUAAUAUAGGACCAAAACGACGAACGCAUACCGUACAUGACGACACGAACACUAGCGACCACGUAUUACACUGGAUAUGAAACCUAUGACUUUACGUUGACAAGUCAAAACGUCGAAUUGCACAAUAAUAUCAAUACACCUACUUUAUACAUAAACUGUAGUUAAAGAUCGUCCGUGAACUCGGAGUAUGAAACAACAGAAAGUAAACUACAAAAGUGUAACAAUACACCCCUAGUGACAAAGUAACCGAGACGACGACAAGAACGUAGGAUGAUAUUGUAUGCCUACAUACAUCUGUACAAAAUCUUACGUCUGAGUAAGUAAAACGAUUUUUCUGAAUAUGAGGG
rnacentral:rRNA from 1 species